UGGUGGAAUUGGUAGACACGCACGCUUGAGGGGCGUGUGGGGCAACCCGUGGGAGUUCAAAUCUCCCCUUCGGCACCA
rnacentral:tRNA from 1 species